UCUCAACUAGGCAAUUGGCUAGCGCGUCUGACUGUUAAUCAGGAGGUUGGUGGUUCGAGCCCACCCGGGGGAG